GCCAGACUCCUACGGGAGGCAGCAGUGAGGAAUAUUGGUCAAUGGCCGGAAGGCUGAACCAGCCAAGCCGCGUGAAGGACGAAGGUGCCAAGCAUUGUAAACUUCUUUUGUCAAGGGACAAAAUCAGGCUCGAGAGCCUGACCGAGGGUACUUGAAGAAAAAGCAUCGGCUAACUCCGUGCCAGCAGCCGCGGUAAUACGGAGGAUGCGAGCGUUAUCCGGAUUUAUUGGGUUUAAAGGGUGCGUAGGCGGGCUGUUAAGUCAGCGGUAAAAGCCCGGGGCUCAACCCCGUCGUGCCGUUGAAACUGGCGUUCUUGAGUGAGCGAGAAGUAUGCGGAAUGCGUGGUGUAGCGGUGAAAUGCUUAGAUAUCACGAAGAACUCCGAUUGCGAAGGCAGUUCACUGGACUGCAACUGACACUGAGGCUCGAAAGUGUGGGUAUCAAACAGGAUUAGAUACCCGCGUA
rnacentral:rRNA from 1 species